GGACGGGUGAGUAACGCGUGGGUAACCUGCCCUGUACACACGGAUAACAUACCGAAAGGUAUGCUAAUACGAGAUAAUAUGCUUUUAUCGCAUGGUAGAAGUAUCAAAGCUCCGGCGGUACAGGAUGGACCCGCGUCUGAUUAGCUAGUUGGUAAGGUAACGGCUUACCAAGGCGACGAUCAGUAGCCGACCUGAGAGGGUGAUCGGCCACAUUGGAACUGAGACACGGUCCAAACUCC
rnacentral:rRNA from 1 species